AGUCUGCCGUGAUUAACUGCAUGUUUUGUCCGUGUUUCACCUGAUUAACCCUGAUUAUAUAAAUGCACAGAGCAGAUU